GCACUACUGACGAGUCCCAGACAGGACAAAAUAUGUGUCCAGUGC
rnacentral:hammerhead_ribozyme from 1 species